UACGUAGGGUGCAAGCGUUUAAUCGGAAUUACUGGGCGUAAAGCGUGCGCAGGCGGUUGUGCAAGACAGAUGUGAAAUCCCCGGGCUCAACCUGGGAAUUGCGAUGAAGACUGCAAGGCUUGAAGCUGGCAGAGGGGGGGUAGAAUUCCACGUGCAGCAGUGAAAUGCGUAGAGAUGUGGAGGAACACCAGUGGCGAAGGCGGCUUUUUGGUCUGUAACUGACGCUGAGGCGCGAAAGCGUGGGGAGCAAACAGG
rnacentral:rRNA from 1 species